AAGCAUUAACCUUCUAAGUUAAAGAUGGGGAGUCUAAGCUCCUCUUAAUGACAUGUCACAACUAGAUACACCAACCUGAUUUAUCACUAUUAUAUCAAUAAUAUAACACUGCUCAUUAUAUUUCAACCAAAAAUGUCAAACCAUUCAUAUCCAUGAAAUCCAGAACCUAAAUCUGCAAUAACGCUAAAACAACCUAAUCCCUGGGAAGAAAAACGAAUGAAAAUCUAUUUGCCUCUCUCAGUACCCCAACAAUAAUAGGGUUACCUAUUGUUAUUCUAAUUAUUAGAAUCCCAAGCAGGCU